CGAGCUGCCGGCAGCGCCCAGAGUGUCGCUGUGCGGGAGCAGAGCGGGUCCUGCCGGGGCGGGUGCCGCGGCAGAUCCGCAGGGACCGCAGCACCUGGGCCGACGUGCUGGUGUAAUCGCCACCUGCUUAAGCGAGCUCCGUGCGAAUCCGGGGUUAGGCGCUGUGCAGUGCGACGUGCGGCCGAGGUGGGGUGAGGCGGGAACGGAGCCCUCGUGUGUUCUUAGCACGGCAGCGCGGUGGGUCCGGCCUCCCGUCUGGCAGCUCCCGAGCUGCACCGUGUGUGCGCAACCUGACAUCUGUACCGCCGGCACAGACAGUCCUUUCCUUCGCGUUGGAGGGAGACGUGCGCGAUGACUGUGUAGGACAGAGCGGUUACUGCUGUCUUUCAAGAACCAGGUUUAUCUGACCGCCUAAGAGCCAGAAGAGAUGAAAUUGGAUUAAUACCCUGUCCUGAAGCAAGAUACAACCGGAGCCCGAUAGUCCUAGUGGAAAACAAGCUUGGUGUGGAGAGCUGGUGUGUCAAGUUUCUUUUGCCGUAUGUUCACAACAAACUUCUACUCUACAGACAGAGAAAACAGUGGCUGAACAAAGAUGAGCUGAUAGAUACCACGUGUACGCUGUUGCUGCUGAAUCCAGACUUCACCACAGCCUGGAACGUGAGG